rnacentral:rRNA from 1 species
UACGUAGGCAGCAAGCGUUGUUCGGAGUUACUGGGCGUAAAGGGUGUGUAGGCGGUUCCUUAAGUUUGCUGUGAAAUCUUCCGGCUUAACCGGGAGGGUGCGGUGAAUACUGAGGGACUAGAGUACGGGAGAGGAAAGUGGAAUUCCUGGUGUAGCGGUGAAAUGCGUAGAUAUCAGGAAGAACACCCGUGGCGAAGGCGGCUCUCUGGGACGGUACUGACGCUGAGACGCGAAAGCGUGGGGAGCGAACAGG